rnacentral:rRNA from 1 species
GAUGAACGCUGGCGGCGUGCCUAAUACAUGCAAGUCGAACGCAUAGCGAAAGGUGCUUGCACCUUUCAAGUGAGUGGCGAACGGGUGAGUAACACGUGGACAACCUGCCUCAAGGCUGGGGAUAACAUUUGGAAACAGAUGCUAAUACCGAAUAAAACUUAGUGUCGCAUGACACAAAGUUAAAAGGCGCUUCGGCGUCACCUAGAGAUGGAUCCGCGGUGCAUUAGUUAGUUGGUGGGGUAAAGGCCUGCCAAGACAAUGAUGCAUAGCCGAGUUGAGAGACUGAUCGGCCACAUUGGGACUGAGACACGGCCCAAACUCCUACGGGAGGCUGCAGUAGGGAAUCUUCCACAAUGGGCGAAAGCCUGAUGGAGCAACGCCGCGUGUGUGAUGAAGGCUUUCGGGUCGUAAAGCACUGUUGUAUGGGAAGAACAGCUAGAAUAGGAAAUGAUUUUAGUUUGACGGUACCAGACCAGAAAGGGACGGCUAAAUACGUG